GGCAUUUUGGGAGCUCACUGGCUUCAGAUUUCAUCGGAACUCCGAAGUUAAACGAGUUCGCACGAGAGCAAUCCCAUGAUAGGUGACCUACUGAGAAGUUCUCGUGUGAGUUCCCAAAAACAAAACCGUGAAGGCGUGGUCGGGGCCUAAAGAGGACAAUAUCGUGUUACGGUAGAGUCGAGCCCGGGAUGUGGUGGGGGUCAGGAUGUGACAAUUUGGUAUCAGAGCCAAUCCAUGGUCGGAAGUGUGCCGACAAGGACGUCGAGCCCCUAAAGGGGUGGAUUGUAAGAUCCGACAUCGCCCAGGGUUGUGGAUCCUGUAAGCCUUAUAUGUAUAUUAUCAUCUCUACCUAGUACAAGACCUUUUGGGAGCUCACUGGCUUCGGAUUCCAUCGGAACUCCGAAGUUAAACGAGUUCGCGAGACAGCAAUCCCAUGAUGGGUGACCCAUUGAGAAGUUCUCGUGUGAGUUCCC
rnacentral:sRNA from 1 species